UACGUAGGUGGCAAGCGUUGUCCGGAUUUAUUGGGUUUAAAGGGUGCGUAGGCGGCCCUGUAAGUCAGUGCUGAAAUAUCCCAGCUUAACUGGGAGGGUGGCAUUGAUACUGCGGGGCUAGAGUACAGAUGAGGUAGGCGGAAUUGACGGUGUAGCGGUGAAAUGCUUAGAUAUCGUCAAGAACACCUAUAGCGAAGGCAGCUUACUAGGGAGUUACUGACACUGAGGCACGAAAGCGUGGGGAUCAAACAGG
rnacentral:rRNA from 1 species